AAGAAAGUGGCAGAUUGGUUAUUGUGUCUGGCUUGAAACCAGACUAUGAGGGUUCAAUUCCUUCCUUUCUCG
rnacentral:tRNA from 1 species